UACGUAGGGUCCGAGCGUUGUCCGGAAUUACUGGGCGUAAAGCGUGCGCAGGCGGCCCGCGAGGUGUCACGUGAAAGCCCCGGGCUCAACCCGGGAGGGUCGUGGCAAACCGGCGGGCUUGAGGCCGGUAGAGGUGGGUGGAACUCCUGGUGGAGUGGUGAAAUGCGUAGAGAUCAGGAAGAACACCCGUGGCGAAGGCGGCUCUCUGGGACGGUACUGACGCUGAGACGCGAAAGCGUGGGGAGCGAACAGG
rnacentral:rRNA from 1 species